GGGGCGGGUUUGGCUCAAGUUUUGGCUCUCGAAAAGGAAAGCUCUCUUUAGUUAUAAAAGUGAGUUCUCAAAAGAUGUGUUGACAGUAUUGAAUCACCAACAACCUGUUAUGUGAAUGGCUGGAACAUAGUUAAGUUCAGGUUGGCACAGGCACAGACAGAUGGCAAUCACAGCCCGAUGUGCGUAGCCACUGCUUCAUCCCAGCUGCCGGCGCCCCGCAGGGCUGUCCCACCUCCAAGGUUUCACUGUUGUGCUUAGACUCGGUUGUAAGAGGUUCACGGCAAUAUAACAAGUUAAUGAACUUUGAGUUUAAAUUGUGUACAUUUUUAAAUUGUAAGAUUUUUACUGUAUAUUGAUGCAUAGUGUGAUUCAAAUAAAUUGCUUGUAAUUUAAAAACUAUUUAAUAUUCAAAAUAAAUAUAGUUAUAUAUUUAUAAACUCUGUUGCUGCACCGAUUCUGUGUGUUCCACUGUAUGAGUCCUGAGGUGGGUGGCCUGGCCCUGCCCUGGAGGAUGCUGGGAGCCUGAAGCCCUGGGUCCCUCGCUGCCCUAGUCCCUAGAGACAGAAUGCCCUCUGCUGUGCCAGACCUAAACCCAGCCCCUUCCACCCUCCCGAGAGCGAGGAUUUGUAUAGUCACUGGGGGACAGGCGCGUAGUGUUUGCAUUGCUGUAAAGUAUCUGUAAUUCAAGGUGUUUGCACUUAUGGAUGAACUUCAGAAGCAUUUUAAUUUCGGAGAUCCAGCCUCUAUGGAGCUCUAAUAAGCCCAGUGGCUAAUCAGCUCAGAACCGCCCUGAGUGGCCCCCCCUUAAUGUCCUGGUCCGAGCUGCCACCGGCUGGGAAGUCAGCCUCCUUGUACCGAAACAGGGGUCUGGCCCCCGGUUGGUUCAGGUUACAUCAACUGCGGAGUGGCCCUGGGGAGGUAGAUGGAAGAGGCCUGUGAACCCCAUUCAGAGAGCCCAGAAAGGGCAGCGAGGGACUCUGUCCCCGACGUGCAGGGACAGCGCCGACCCUGGGCCUGCAGGGCCCGAGUCCGGGAGGGGCUGGUAGCCCACGCCGAGUGCCACUGUUGGUACCACUCGCCCUCCGGCUGCCUCCCUUCAGCCCCCAGGAACCCCUGAGCAGUUGCUGCCGUUAACACCUUUUAGUGCUGCCAGUCAAAGGUGAGGAAGCUGAGGCCAAGGGCGAUUAAGCAGAGCAGGUAGGUGGCAGCCAGUUUUGAGCUCAAGCGGCUGCGCCGCGGGAGACCUCCGAAGGAAAACCGCUGACCAGUUGUUGCCCGGUGAUCCGCCCACCGGCGGCGGAGCAGGUGCCCCGGGGCAGCUUCCGCCCCCUAGCACCUGGGCCGGCGCCGCGGGCCUGGCGGGGGGCGGGUCCGCAGCCCGGGGUGCCGCGGGGGUCCUUCCGAAACGUGGGGUGAGCGCGCGGGGGCGUCCGGGCUGCUGUUCUAUCAGGGCGGCGGCCGCGGCCUUUUGGG
rnacentral:lncRNA from 1 species